AAUAAAUAAUAUAAUGGUCGUCUCAGUGCUAGUUCUGAGAUUUUUUUAUUCUCCAAGGCACUUUUUGACUUAGGUAUUUCAUGAUGAGACACAUCUCACCUGAGGCAACCUUUCGUAUAAGUUAAAGACAUCGAUACCCUCAUAGUAAAUGAAACCAAACCGAACUGAGUAUUCCCCUAAACCAAAUCAUACCAAGACCAACUUAUACGAAAUCCUAGCGAUCUAUCUCCCUCAUUUCCCCUCUUUUCUAACUCUCUCACUCUCUCCCAACGUUUGCGGCGGAGACUAAGACCCUAGUUUCAGACUCGCCUGUUUCACCUCUACUAUCCCAGCUGAUAACACUUUUUAUGCCAGCGUAGACAGAUUCCAACAUGCGAGAUUUACUCCGAGGUAAACACUUUCUGAAACUGGUCUCUCAAACCAAACUCUGAGAUUUGAUUUUUUAUUUUCGCGAUUUUUUCUGUCUUACCAAAGAUUUGAUUUUUAAUUUACGAGAUUUUCCCCUUCUCUAUCCAUUUGUUUUCUGCUUUCUCCCCUC
rnacentral:lncRNA from 1 species